rnacentral:rRNA from 1 species
UACGUAGGUGGCAAGCGUUGUCCGGAUUUACUGGGCGUAAAGAGCGCGCAGGCGGUCGUGCAAGUCGCGUGUGAAAGCCCCCGGCUCAACUGGGGAGGGUCACGCGAUACUGUUCGACUCGAAGGCAGGAGAGGGAAGCGGAAUUCCCGGUGUAGUGGUGAAAUGCGUAGAUAUCGCUUGGAACGCCAACGGUCAAAACAGCUCGCUGGGGGUGUGCUGACGCUGAGACACGAAAGCCAGGGGAGCGAACGGG